UGACUGUGCAAAGGUAGCAUAGUAAUUUGUCUUUUAAUUGGAGGAUGGAAUGAAUGGUUUGAUGAAGGUAAAGCUGUCUCGUACAUAUUUAUUAAAAGUUAAUUUUUAGGUUAAAAAGCCUAAAUUGGAUUAAAAGACGAGAAGACCCUAUUAAGCUUAAAGGAAGUAUUUAAGUGUUGUUAUAAAAUAAAAUGUGAGUGUUAGAGAUGGAAUUUUAGUUGGGGCGACUUGGGAGCAAAGGAAACCUCCUUAAAUUAGAAAAAAAUUUAAUUUAUGGCCCAAAAAUUUUGAGUUAAGAAUAAGUUACUAUAGGGAUAACAGCGUGGUUUUAUUUGAGAGUUCUAAUCGAAAAUAAAGUUCGCGACCUCGAUGUUGGAUUAAGAAGUAGUGAAGGUUGCAGAAGCUUUUGUAAUUAGUCUGUUCGACUAUUAAUAUCUUACAUGAUCU
rnacentral:rRNA from 1 species